UACGUAGGGUGCAAGCGUUUGUCCGGAAUUAUUGGGCGUAAAGAGCUCGUAGGCGGUUUGUUGCGUCGGCUGUGAAAUCCCGAGGCUCAACCUCGGGUCUGCAGUCGAUACGAGCAAACUAGAGUGUUGCAGGGGAGACUGGAAUUCCUGGUGUAGCGGUGAAAUGCGCAGAUAUCAGGAGGAACACCGGUGGCGAAGGCGGGUCUCUGGGCAACAACUGACGCUGAGGAAGCGAAAGCGUGGGGAGCGAACAGG
rnacentral:rRNA from 1 species